UUAAAUCUCACUUUCUAUCUUUCUCUUUCUCCGAGAUUCUACAUCACUCUCUUUCUCUUUCGUUCUCUUUCUAUCUUUCUAUUUCUCUCGCACACUAACAAGACGUGGGACGAUCCUCUUCGUCGUCGUCGUCUUCGUCGUCGUCUUCUCGUCGUCGUGAGUUUCUAUAUAAAUCCUCGUGAACUCACUGGGUUCUCCGAGUAGUACGCCAUCGGCAAACAGUUCGUACGGAUCAUUCUCCGGGUACAUGAGUGAUAUUAUAUACUAGUUUUGCGGUUUUACGUGUGUUCUCAUCGUUGUGUGUAUAUCACAAAGAUAUACGGAGAGAUAUCUCGAGUCGAAUUCUCGAAUUCCUAUCAAAAUUUGGACGACCUUCGUGUAAUCUACAUAUCUCGAUCGUUUGUUAAACGUUUCGCGAUCUCUUAUCGAAUUUUAAAACACGCGAUAGAAAAGCAACGACGAGUGUACGAAAGGCGAAAAGGGAAAG